UGGGGGAUAUUGCACAAUGGGGGAAACCCUGAUGCAGCGACGCCGCGUGUGGGAAGACGGUCUUCUGGAUUGUAAACCACUGUCCCCAGGGACGAAAAUGACGGUACCUGGGGAGGAAGCUCCGGCUAACUACGUGCCAGCAGCCGCGGUAAUACGUAGGGAGCAAGCGUUGUCCGGAAUUACUGGGUGUAAAGGGAGCGUAGGCGGGGAUGCAAGUUGGGUGUCAAAACUACCGGCUCAACCGAUAGUCGCACUCAAAACUGCAGCUCUUGAGUGAAGUAGAGGCAGGCGGAAUUCCUAGUG
rnacentral:rRNA from 1 species